rnacentral:misc_RNA from 1 species
GAUGAAGAACGUAGCGAAAUGCGAUAUGUAGUGUGAAUUGCAGAAUUCAGUGAAUCAUCGAAUCUUUGAACGCACAUUGCGCUCCCUGGUAUUCCGGGGAGCAUGCUCGUUUCAGAAUCAUUAACAUUCUCAAAGACACGGUCUGAACCUUCGGGGGAUGCCGUUACUCUUUCGGAUGUGAGCCCUUUUGCUGCAAGGCAAUGGCUUGAAAAUGAUUGUGUUUGCAACCGGCCUCCUUGGUUCGGUUCUCUCAAGUGCAACAGAUGUUAGCUCAUUCGUUACCUCUUGAUGAGAAGCGAUUCCAUUGUCCGGAUGAUCUUACACUCAACCAAAAUACACUCUCAGUGAUUCGAAGGGAUCACUGUUUGAUAACUUGGUCUGAAAUCGAGCAAGACAACCCGCUGAACUUAAGCAUAUCAAUAAGCGGAGGA